GUCGGUAACGUGCCCAGAGGACGGGGAUAGCGGCGGGAAACUGCCGGUAAUACCCGAUGAUCUCGAGAGAGCAAAGGUGUGAUUCCGCCUUUGGAGCGGCCGACAUGGUAUUAGCUAGUUGGUGGGGUAACGGCCCACCAAGGCUGUGAUGCCUAGGGGAUGUGAGAGCAUGAUCCCCACCAUUGGGACUGAGACACUGCCCAGACACCUACGGGUGGCUGCAGUCGAGAAUCUUCGUCAAUGGGCGAAAGCCUGAACGAGCGACGCCGCGUGCGGGAUGAAGGCCCUUGGGUUGUAAACCGCUGUCGAGGGGGAUGAAGGCUUGAAGGUACUCCUUCAAGUUUGACAGAGCCCUGGAGGAAGCACGGGCUAAGUUCGUGCCAGCAGCCGCGGUAAUACGAACUGUGCGAACGUUAUUCGGAAUCACUGGGCUUACAGGGUGCGUAGGCGGCCGAACAAGUCAGGUGUGAAAGCCCUCGGCUCAACCGAGGAACUGCGCUUGAAACUGUUUGGCUC
rnacentral:rRNA from 1 species